UGGGGAAUCUUGCGCAAUGGGCGAAAGCCUGACGCAGCAACGCCGCGUGUGUGAUGAAGGUCUUCGGAUCGUAAAGCACUGUCGCGAGGGAAGAUAUGCCUCCAAAUAACAAGUGGAGGUUAAGACGGUACCUCGAGAGGAAGCACCGGCUAACUCUGUGCCAGCAGCCGCGGUAAUACAGAGGGUGCGAGCGUUGUUCGGAAUUAUUGGGCGUAAAGCGCUUGUAGGCGGCCUGUCAAGUCUCGUGUGAAAUCCCCAGGCUUAACCUGGGAAGUGCGCGGGAAACUGGCGGGCUUGAGUGCCGGAGAGGGUCGCGGAAUUCCCGGUGUAGAGGUGAAAUUCGUAGAUAUCGGGAGGAACACCAGUGGCGAAGGCGGCGACCUGGACGGACACUGACGCUGAGACGCGAAAGCGUGGGGAGCAAACAGGAUUAGAUACCCCUGUAGUCC
rnacentral:rRNA from 1 species